rnacentral:snoRNA from 1 species
UUUCCCAUUUGACUACCACUUUUUCUAUUAAUAAUAGAAGUUAGUGGUUAUACUUAUGAGAUAGAUGAAAAUUGCCAUGGUCUGAAGAGGGAGGAUUUUUGUGUGUAUCCACCUCCUACUGAACUGGCUAAACAGAAAUCU